rnacentral:rRNA from 1 species
CAGUAGCCGCGGGAAUACAGAGGGUGCAAGCGUUAAUCGGAAUUACUGGGCGUAAAGCGCGCGUAGGUGGUUUGUUAAGUUGGAUGUGAAAUCCCCGGGCUCAACCUGGGAACUGCAUCCAAAACUGGCAAGCUAGAGUAUGGUAGAGGGUGGUGGAAUUUCCUGUGUAGCGGUGAAAUGCGUAGAUAUUCGCAGGAACACCAGUGGCGAAGGCGGCUAACUGGUCCAUAACUGACGCUGAGGUGCGAAAGCGUGGGGAGCAAACAGGAUUAGAUACCCCGGUAGUCCCUGUCUCUUAUAC